rnacentral:rRNA from 1 species
GAUGAACGCUGGCGGCGUGCUUAACACAUGCAAGUCGAACGGUGAAGGAGAGCUUGCUCUCCGGAUCAGUGGCGAACGGGUGAGUAACACGUGAGCAAUCUGCCCCUGACUCUGGGAUAAGCGCUGGAAACGGCGUCUAAUACCGGAUACGAGCUGCGAAGGCAUCUUCAGCAGCUGGAAAGAACUUCGGUCAGGGAUGAGCUCGCGGCCUAUCAGCUUGUUGGUGAGGUAACGGCUCACCAAGGCGUCGACGGGUAGCCGGCCUGAGAGGGUGACCGGCCACACUGGGACUGAGACACGGCCCAGACUCCUACGGGAGGCAGCAGUGGGGAAUAUUGCACAAUGGGCGCAAGCCUGAUGCAGCAACGCCGCGUGAGGGACGACGGCC